UCGCAGCGCUCGAGGCGCACGGUGGGGU
rnacentral:sRNA from 1 species